CUCUAAGACCACUCUGUCUGGGGAAAAUGGCCGCCGGAGCAAAGCUAAGAGAAGGAAGCAGCAGAGAGCAGACUCCCCUGGACCCAGCUGUGUCUAUGGAUAUACCUCCUGAAUUUAAAGAUGGACGGCCCUCCAGAGACGAGAGAAGGAGGCAGGAGAGAGCAGACUCCCCUGGACCCAGCUGUGUCUCCAUGAGGAGUGACUGGUCU